CGUAACGCGUAUGCAACCUAGCCCCCACUCAGGGGAAGUAGCCCGCCGAAAGGCGGAGUUUAAUGCCCCCACUAGGCCCACGGGCGGCCGCAUGGCGCUAUGGGUAAAGCGUCCGGCGGAUGGGGAUGGGCAUGCGUGCCAUUAGCUAGUUGGGGCGGUAACGGCGCACCAAGGCGACGAUGGCUAGGGGGUCUGAGAGGAUGGUCCCCCACACUGGUACUGAGACACGGACCAGACUCCUACGGGAGGCAGCAGUGAGGAAUAUUGGUCAAUGGGCGGAAGCCUGAACCAGCCAAUGCCGCGUGCAGGAUGACGGCCCUACGGGUUGUAAACUGCUUUUCCCCGGGAAGAAUAAGCCCCUCGUGAGGGGUGAUGCCGGUACCGGGGGAAUAAGGAUCGGCUAACUCCGUGCCAGCCGCCGC
rnacentral:rRNA from 1 species